rnacentral:pre_miRNA from 18 species
AUUCCAACCGAGGUCUCUCCCAGUUAUAAGUAGUAGUGCCGCAGGUAACCGCUUCCAGAAAAUUGGUUUACCUACUGCCUUCUGCUUAGAAUUGGGAUUUUGAUGACCGUCUA